rnacentral:rRNA from 1 species
GGGUUGUGAGGUUAAGCGACUAAGCGUACACGGUGGAUGCCCUGGCAGUCAGAGGCGAUGAAGGACGUGCUAAUCUGCGAAAAGCGUCGGUAAGGUGAUAUGAACCGUUAUAACCGGCGAUGUCCGAAUGGGGAAACCCAGUGCAAUUCGUUGCACUAUCGUUAACUGAAUACAUAGGUUAACGAGGCGAACCGGGGGAACUGAAACAUCUAAGUACCCCGAGGAAAAGAAAUCAACCGAGAUUCCCCCAGUAGCGGCGAGCGAACGGGGAGCAGCCCAGAGUCUGAAUCAGCUUGUGUGUUAGUGGAACGGUCUGGAAAGUCCGACGGUACAGGGUGAUAGUCCCGUACACCAAAAUGCACAGGCUGUGAACUCGAAGAGUAGGGCGGGACACGUGGUAUCCUGUCUGAAUAUGGGGGACCAUCCUCCAAGGCUAAAUACUCCUGACUGACCGAUAGUGAACCAGUACCGUGAGGGAAAGGCGAAAAGAACCCCGGCGAGGGGAGUGAAAAAGAACCUGAAACCGUGUACGUACAAGCAGUGGGAGCACCUUCGGGUGUGACUGCGUACCUUUUGUAUAAUGGGUCAGCGACUUAUAUUCUGUAGCAAGGUUAACCGUAUAGGGGAGCCGCAGGGAAACCGAGUCUUAACUGGGCGUUAAGUUGCAGGGUAUAGACCCGAAACCCGGUGAUCUAGCCAUGGGCAGGUUGAAGGUUGGGUAACACUAACUGGAGGACCGAACCGACUAAUGUUGAAAAAUUAGCGGAUGACUUGUGGCUGGGGGUGAAAGGCCAAUCAAACCGGGAGAUAGCUGGUUCUCCCCGAAAGCUAUUUAGGUAGCGCCUCGUGAACUCAUCUUCGGGGGUAGAGCACUGUUUCGGCUAGGGGGUCAUCCCGACUUACCAACCCGAUGCAAACUACGAAUACCGAAGAAUGUUAUCACGGGAGACACACGGCGGGUGCUAACGUCCGUCGUGAAGAGGGAAACAACCCAGACCGCCAGCUAAGGUCCCAAAGUCAUGGUUAAGUGGGAAACGAUGUGGGAAGGCACAGACAGCCAGGAUGUUGGCUUAGAAGCAGCCAUCAUUUAAAGAAAGCGUAAUAGCUCACUGGUCGAGUCGGCCUGCGCGGAAGAUGUAACGGGGCUAAACCAUGCACCGAAGCUGCGGCAGCGACACUAUGUGUUGUUGGGUAGGGGAGCGUUCUGUAAGCCUGCGAAGGUGUGCUGUGAGGCAUGCUGGAGGUAUCAGAAGUGCGAAUGCUGACAUAAGUAACGAUAAAGCGGGUGAAAAGCCCGCUCGCCGGAAGACCAAGGGUUCCUGUCCAACGUUAAUCGGGGCAGGGUGAGUCGACCCCUAAGGCGAGGCCGAAAGGCGUAGUCGAUGGGAAACAGGUUAAUAUUCCUGUACUUGGUGUUACUGCGAAGGGGGGACGGAGAAGGCUAUGUUAGCCGGGCGACGGUUGUCCCGGUUUAAGCAUGUAGGCUGAUUGUCCAGGCAAAUCCGGAUAAUCAAGGCUGAGGUGUGAUGACGAGGCACUACGGUGCUGAAGUAACAAAUGCCCUGCUUCCAGGAAAAGCCUCUAAGCAUCAGGUAACAUUAAAUCGUACCCCAAACCGACACAGGUGGUCAGGUAGAGAAUACCAAGGCGCUUGAGAGAACUCGGGUGAAGGAACUAGGCAAAAUGGUGCCGUAACUUCGGGAGAAGGCACGCUGGUGUGUAGGUGAAGUCCCUGCGGAUGGAGCUGAGACCAGUCGAAGAUACCAGCUGGCUGCAACUGUUUAUUAAAAACACAGCACUGUGCAAACACGAAAGUGGACGUAUACGGUGUGACGCCUGCCCGGUGCCGGAAGGUUAAUUGAUGGGGUUAUCCGUAAGGAGAAGCUCUUGAUCGAAGCCCCGGUAAACGGCGGCCGUAACUAUAACGGUCCUAAGGUAGCGAAAUUCCUUGUCGGGUAAGUUCCGACCUGCACGAAUGGCGUAAUGAUGGCCAGGCUGUCUCCACCCGAGACUCAGUGAAAUUGAACUCGCUGUGAAGAUGCAGUGUACCCGCGGCAAGACGGAAAGACCCCGUGAACCUUUACUAUAGCUUGACACUGAACAUUGAGCCUUGAUGUGUAGGAUAGGUGGGAGGCUUUGAAGCGUGGACGCCAGUCUGCGUGGAGCCAACCUUGAAAUACCACCCUUUAAUGUUUGAUGUUCUAACGUUGGCCCCUUACCGGGGUUGCGGACAGUGUCUGGUGGGUAGUUUGACUGGGGCGGUCUCCUCCCAAAGCGUAACGGAGGAGCACGAAGGUUAGCUAAUCCUGGUCGGACAUCAGGAGGUUAGUGCAAUGGCAUAAGCUAGCUUGACUGCGAGCGUGACGGCGCGAGCAGGUGCGAAAGCAGGUCAUAGUGAUCCGGUGGUUCUGAAUGGAAGGGCCAUCGCUCAACGGAUAAAAGGUACUCCGGGGAUAACAGGCUGAUACCGCCCAAGAGUUCAUAUCGACGGCGGUGUUUGGCACCUCGAUGUCGGCUCAUCACAUCCUGGGGCUGAAGUAGGUCCCAAGGGUAUGGCUGUUCGCCAUUUAAAGUGGUACGCGAGCUGGGUUUAGAACGUCGUGAGACAGUUCGGUCCCUAUCUGCCGUGGGCGCUGGAGAAUUGAGGGGGGCUGCUCCUAGUACGAGAGGACCGGAGUGGACGCAUCACUGGUGUUCGGGUUGUCAUGCCAAUGGCACUGCCCGGUAGCUAAAUGCGGAAGAGAUAAGUGCUGAAAGCAUCUAAGCACGAAACUUGCCCCGAGAUGAGUUCUCCCUGAGACUUUAAGUCUCCUGAAGGAACGUUGAAGACGACGACGUUGAUAGGCCGGGUGUGUAAGCGCAGCGAUGCGUUGAGCUAACCGGUACUAAUGAACCGUGAGGCUUAACCUUACAACGCCGAAG